UACAGAGGGUGCGAGCGUUAAUCGGAAUUACUGGGCGUAAAGCGUGCGUAGAUGGUUAUGUAAGUCGGAUGUGAAAUCCCCGGGCUCAACCUGGGAACUGCAUUUGUGACUGCAUCGCUGGAGUGCGGCAGAGGGGGAUGGAAUUCCGCGUGUAGCAGUGAAAUGCGUAGAUAUGCGGAGGAACACCGAUGGCGAAGGCAAUCCCCUGGGCCUGCACUGGCGCUCAUGCACGAAAGCGUGGGGAGCAAACAGG
rnacentral:rRNA from 1 species